rnacentral:rRNA from 1 species
GACGGGGGAUGCAAGCGUUAUCCGGAAUCACUGGGCGUAAAGCGUCUGUAGGUGGUGAUGCAAGUCACUGGUGAAAAACUCUGGCUCAACCGGAGGAAAGCCAGUGAAACUGCAUGACUAGAGGGUGGGAGAGGUAGAAGGAAUUCCCUGAGUAGCGGUGAAAUGCGUAGAUACAGCGAAGAACACCGGAGGCGAAAGCGUUCUACUGGAACACAACUGACACUGAGAGACGAAAGCUAGGGGAGCGAAUGGG